rnacentral:lncRNA from 1 species
CUCAUCUAGCUGACAUAGACAAGAAAAGUCAGACUUGACCUUUUCUUCAAUGCUUCCCCAAAUUCCAAAUUAUUUUCUGCCUGAGGGAAGGAAAAGCAUUGCCUCCUGCCAGAGACAGCCAAGAUGCUGCAGAAGCAACAGCUGGCCAGAAGUGAUUUUCUGUGAUUUUCCCUUCCUGUGGAGCAUGCCAGUCAUAGAAAUGGAGCAUUAUGUUUCUAGCGAAUAGGGCUGGUCUGUGAAACCAGCUGAAUAUUGCAAAAACGAAGUGUGACUUCUGAGGUCAAAAAAAGGUGUGGCUUCUUUCUUUUGAAUCAGACACUCUGGGGAAAGCCAACUGCCAUACUACAAGGACAUUCAAGCAACCCUCUAUAGAAGGCCAAGCCGGGAGGAAUUGGGACUUCUCAUCUGCGGUCAGCACCAACUUGCCCAUCAUGUGAGUGAGCCGCAUUGGAAGCAGAUCCUCCAGGCUCAGUCAGGCCUACCAACAGCUGCAGCCCUGGCUGACAUCUUGAUCAAGACCUUCUGAAACACCCUGCAUCAGAACUACCCAGCUAAGCCACUCUAGGAUUCCAGACUCACAAAAGCCAUGAGAUAAUAAAUGAACAUUGUUGUAUGAAG